rnacentral:rRNA from 1 species
UACGGGGGGUGCGAGCGUUGUCCGGAAUCACUGGGCGUAAAGGGCGCGUAGGUGGCUUGGUAAGCGCGUGGUGAAAGCCCGGGGCUCAACCCCGGGUCUGCCAUGCGAACUACUAUGGCUUGAGCACUGUAGAGGCAGGUGAGAAUUCCGGGGUGUAGCGGUGGAAUGCGUAGAGAUCCGGAAGAAUACCGGUGGCGAAGGCGGCCUGCUGGGCAGUGGCUGACACUGAGGCGCGACAGCGUGGGGGAGCAAACAGG